AUAACAUUCUAUCUAGUAUUACUAUAACCUGCUCGCUGUAUUAUAACAUUCUAUAUAGUAUUACUAUAACCUGCUCGCUGUAUUAUAACAUUCUAUAUAGUAUCGUUUGCUCUCAAUUACCCCCUCACCCAACAAUCUCAGCCUAAACCCCCUCAGCUCAGGAGGAACCUUAACUCUAUUGACCUCCAGCAGCUGUCAGCUGACAUUGAUUCACAACUGC